rnacentral:rRNA from 1 species
UUUUCUUUUAAAAUAAUAAUUUUUCAAAUUAUUUCAAUUUUCUUUUACAAUACUAUUAAACUAUAAUUAAAAUUAUUUUUUCUUUAAACAAUACUAAAACUUUUUACUAUAAAAUUAUUUUUAAUAUUUAAAAAUAUAAAUAAAUUAAAUUAAUAAAUAAAAUUUAA